rnacentral:rRNA from 1 species
AUGCACGCUGGCGGCGUGCCUAAUCCCUGCCAGUCGCGCGAACAGACGAGGAGCUUGCUCCUCUGACGUUAGCGGCGGACGGGUGAGUAACACGUGGAUAACCUACCUAUAAGACUGGGAUAACUUCGGGAAACCGGAGCUAAUACCGGAUAAUAUAUUGAACCGCAUGGUUCAAUAGUGAAAGACGGUUUUGCUGUCACUUAUAGAUGGAUCCGCGCCGCAUUAGCUAGUUGGUAAGGUAACGGCUUACCAAGGCGACGAUGCGUAGCCGACCUGAGAGGGUGAUCGGCCACACUGGAACUGAGACACGGUCCAGACUCCUACGGGAGGCAGCAGUAGGGAAUCUUCCGCAAUGGGCGAAAGCCUGACGGAGCAACGCCGCGUGAGUGAUGAAGGUCUUCGGAUCGUAAAACUCUGUUAUUAGGGAAGAACAAAUGUGUAAGUAACUAUGCACGUCUUGACGGUACCUAAUCAGAAAGCCACGGCUAACUACGUG